AGCCUGAAGUUUGGAGGAAGAAAGAGAAGACACAGGGGCAUCCUGGAGGACAGCUACUAAGAUGUUAGAUAGUCCCUCGAGGUUCAGUAAUGGAUGGGGAACUGGUUGCAUCCAGCAGAGCAGGACAAUGGGACCAUUGUCCUAUGGAACAUCAGAGCAACGAACCUUGUCCUCCAAAACUAUAAGUAAUAGCAGAUAUACUAUUAUAUGCUUUCCUGAGGGACAAGAAUGAAUGAACAUGAACAAAGCACUCAAUCCAAUGAUAGAUUCAUGUGGAGAAGUCAAGGCAACAUUUUCAAAAUAAUCUGCUGAGGAAGAGACCAAAAGAUUGUUGAGACAUGUCCUGUGUGGCUUUUUAUACUAAAAGUUCUCUACAAUAGAAUCUUCAGCUUCUGUCACCUAAAGGAAAUCUUACAGUAGAUAAGGGAACAUAAGGGCUGUUGAGGUAUUUGUAGAUCAUCUGAAUCAAUU
rnacentral:lncRNA from 14 species